AGAACAGCCAAAGCCAUGGUGGGCGGGGUUAGAGCGGAGGUGGGCGGGGACUGGGCGGGCUACCUAGGCUUGAAGUCUGGGGCCCCUGGAAUUGGAAGACGCAGUAGAGAAGUGACGAAGUGUGGGCGCAGCUCUAGGCAGGCUCUUCCCCGUCUGCUCAGUCCUGACUUUCGUGGGGUGACCCCCAAGCCCACCAGCCCAGAUGGGCCUCAGGCAACUUCCUCCUCCUUGCUGGUCUCUGUGCCCAAUGUUGACAGGUCAGGCCCUCAUGGCCCAAGUACAAGCAGGAAUCCAAAGUUCCACAGAUGGAAGAAUGCCUUCCAGUGGAUGUCUGCUCGGGUCUCCCCGCACACCUUGUGGGAUGCCGUCUCAUGGGGUACCCUGGCCGUGCUGGCCUUGCAGGUGGCGAGACAACUCCACUUCCAGGCGUUGCUGUCCAGAAGGCCUCGGCAGGCAGAGCACCGCUCUUGGCGCAGUCCCCUGGACCGUUUCCUCUCGUCUCCCUGGUGGCACCCGCCCUCCUCACUGCGGAGGCACGUUCUCCCUGGCCCCGAUGGCCUAGCCCCCAGGCACGUUGGCUUUCGGGAACCCAGGCUGGACCCAGAAGAGCCUGGGAACUUCUCUGUCAGCUCCUCCAGAGCAGCUGAUCCUCAGGAGCCUCUUGAGGAAGGCUUUCCCUUUGCAGAUCUCACUAAUUUCAAAUUCCUGAAUGCCAGCGGGAGCUUUGAGUCCAAGCCAACACCAGCUCAGCCUCAGCACCCUGGUGAAAAGAAGGAACAAGAUAAAUCAAAAACUCUUUCCCUUGAGGAGGCCGUGGCUUCCCUUCAGCAGCUCUUCCAGCUCAGCGUUUCCAUUGCUUUCAACUUCCUGGGGACGGAGAACAUGAGGAACAGGGACUACGUAGCAGCCUUUGCUUACUUCCAGAAAGCUGCAGACCGUGGUUACAGCAAAGCACAGUACAACGUGGGCUUGUGUCACGAGCAUGGCAGGGGCACCCACAGAGACCUCCACAAGGCAAUCUUUUAUUACCAGUUGGCUGCCAGCCAGGGCCACAGCCUGGCUCAGUACCGCUAUGCCAGGUGUCUACUGCAAGCCCCAGCCUCCUCAGGGGACCCUGAGCGACAGAGAGCACUGUCCAUGCUGAAGCAGGCUGCAGACUCAGGCCUGACAGAGGCCCAAGCUUUCCUCGGGGUGCUUUUCACCAAGGAGCCAUACCUGGAUGAGCACAGAGCUGUGAAGUAUCUGUGGCUUGCAGCCAGCAAUGGGGACUCACAGAGCAGAUACCACUUGGGAAUUUGCUAUGAGAAGGGCCUUGGUGUGCAGAGGAACCUGGGAGAGGCUGUGAGGUGUUACCAGCAGUCAGCAGCUCUGGGAAAUGAGCCUGCCCAGCAGAGGCUGCGGACCCUCCUCUCCACAGGGGCAGCAGCUCUUAGGCCCAGCCACCUGACAGUUACAGGACUGAAGUCUUUCUCCAGCCCUUCCCUCUGCAGACUGAACUCCCUGCUGGCUGGCGCCUCAGACCUGCCUCAUGCGUGGAGCACGGGGAACCUCAACUGCCCGUGCAGAAGCCCACAUCUCGGAGGCAGCCGGGGAACCCGCAGCAGCGCUGUCCCCAACUUGGAAAGAAGUCUUGUAAGACUGGGUUUUGGAUAAGCCUUACAGGUAGGCCUGGGUGCAUUCUCAGCUAUUUCUGGUCCAUGCACCGAAAGGGUUUAUUGAGUGGCCUCUGGAAAACUGCAGGAAGAAGGGAGCUGCUUCCCUGAAUGCUGCACUGUCUGCUUGACUCUUUCAGACCUCGCCUCAGCCCUGAUGAUGGAGCCUCCGAGUUCUCAGACCAUCAUGACUUGAAUCCCGAAGAUGCCAGUUAUCUAUUCGUUGUCCCCAAACCCUCGAACCCUCCCCAGCACUGUGAAGAGGAGGGAAUAUGUGCAGAUCUGGUUCUGGCUCCACCGCCUGCCUGACCAUGUCACCUUGCAGCGGUGAUCUGAUUCGCUAAUACCGUUUCCUCAGUUGUAGACCAAGGGCAUGGUGUGUGCCCUCCUUCCUCCAUGGGGCCGAUGCUGGGCAUUGCACUGCUAAAAGGACCCCGGUGUUUGCUUAGGCUCUCAGAGGCAGAGUGAUGCUCACAAUUACGCAGCCUCGUGAAACUCGAAAGCAGGAUGAGGACCCGGGCCUCCCGGCUCCUGGCCCUGACUGCUGUUCUGCAGUUCAUGCUGCCAUUCUGUGUGAAAGCGUCCUUGUCAUCCUGCGAUACGAGGGAGGAAACAGAGAUUGGACACCUGGAGUCUCAGAGCUGGAGAGUAUAGAUUGCGAGUCCUCCCUGAAGAAAGGUGAGCCAGAAGUAUAUGGGCAUUUAAUAAAAUAGCUCGUGGAUUAUCUCAUCACUCUUGCCCUUGAGUGUGUUGGUGAGAGCCAGGGAGACAAGACGGAGGGCUGAAAGGCAAGGCUCCAUCCUCAUCUCUGAACUCUACAUUAACCAAUUAAAGGGUCUUAAAAGCUUCUCCAGGAGAGAGACUUAGGGAAAAAAAAUGAUUUCUGAGUCAACGCUAAUGACUCCAAUUACUGAAUUUGUGAAUAGCUGUUCCCUGCUUCUGGAUGUUAGCCCAAGUUCAGUACAUAGAUACGGUAGAGGGGAGGGGCUGAGGCCUGGCUCCUCCAGUGACUGCAAGGAAGAACCAGUUGGCUUGGCCAGUACAGAGGAGGGAGGCUUUGGGGAGAAUGUUACCCACCUUCCCCCUCUGCUGUCAACCCUCACCUCCCAGUCUCCUAAGAGUUGCAUUCUGCACUUUUGUGAAACCUCGCUCGCCAGCAGAGCCCCCCACCCAUCUUGGCCCCUCCCAGGCUGCCCUGCACACUGCUCUCACUCAUCCCCUCGUGUGGCCACCUCCCGCACUGGUGUACUUGGUAGCAGGGCCCCAUCUUUGUGUUGCAGCAUCUCAGCAUCUGGCAGUGUUCUGUACAGUGCAGCGGCUCAGUGCUGUUUUAAGCCUUGUAGUGCACUAAUAUCUCAGCCAAAAAAAAAAAAAAAAAAUUUCUGUGGUCAAAUAAGUUUGGGAAACACUGCACUAGACAUCCCCUUUUUAUAGAUUCACAGUACACAUCAGCAUAUUCCAGGUUCCAAGAAGUCCUGCGGUGAAAACACAGUUAACCCAGUGUGUGCCUCACUGGUCUGAGACAGAGCCUGCCUCUUUCCUGGGUACCCUCGGAAAUAUCACCACUUUCUCUCCUGGUGAUGCCACACUUACCAGUCGCCUUUUCACCUGGGGCAUUUGGGGCCCUGAUUGCCCACCCUUGGGACCACACAUGCCGCAGAGGGCAGACCUGGUAGUCUGUGGGGAUGGCCCUGUGCCGCCCUCCCUCCAUGCAGACCCUAGAAGUUAAAUGUGGCUUCCAUAUGGGGAACCUGAGGUACAGUGGGGUAGUUCUGUGCUCUCCAAGCCGAAAAGGAAGAACCUCUCCUGGUGGAGAGGGAAGGGUGGAAGCUGAAGAGACGUCAGGGAUGAAACACCCGUGGCUGUGCAGUCAUUGUGGGCUUGCUUCAGCCCCAGGAGACACUUUGUGGGCAGCCUGGGGAACUGCUGUGCAUCUGCCAUUAAAAUGAUUGUAUUAACGACUUGUCACAGUGCCUUGUGGGGAAAUGUGGGAGGAGGACAGAAGGUGGCCCCACUUCAGACCAGUGUGGCUCAGAGUUGUGGUGGACUAAGGAUCAGGGCCUGGGGCCUUUAUUCAUGAGACCUUUGAGCAAAACUCUGCUGCCUUGGUUUCCCUGUGUGGAGAUGUUCUUUCCAGGGAUCCCUGACACUAUGUUCGGAACAAAGCCAUUUGAUUUGUUGGAUCUUCCAGGCCAGUACAGUGCAGGGCACUUAGCAGAUAUUCAGGAAAUAGUUAUUUAACAAGCGAGAGUGAUUAUUUGCACUGCAGUGCUACCUAAUGCCCAGUACAAACCUACCCAGAAUAGGCCGGGGAUAUAGCUCAGAGGCAUAGCAUCUGCCUGGCAAGUACAAGGUUGUGAAUUUGACCCCUGGUACCAAAAAAAAAAAAAAAAAAAAAAAAAGACAAAAAGCAAAAAACAAAACCUACGCAAAACUAGUAAGUGUUUUAAAUGUUGAAUGGAUGACUCCAAAACCCCUCUUCCCCUAACUGUUGAUCCUUGUACUUUGUACUUUCUGGCACUUAGCAAUUGUUCAAUAAAUAAACAUGAAAUGUUUAUUGAAUGAA